GCCGUAGCUCAGUGGCAGAGCACCUGCUUUGCAUGCAGAAGGUCUCUGGUUCAGUCCCUGGCAUCUCCA